GAGACGGAUCGUUUACUUUGAAAAAAUCAGAGUGUUUCAAGCAGGCAGCUCGCUCUUGCAUGGAUUAGCAUGGGAUAAUGAAAUAGGACUCUGGUGCUAUUUUGUUGGUUUCGAACACCGGAGUAAUGAUUAACAGGGACAGUCAGGGGCACUCGUAUUCCGUCGAGAGAGGUGAAAUUCUCAGACCAAUGGAAGACGAACCACUGCGAAAGCAUUUGCCAGGGAUGUUUUCACUGAUCAAGAACGAAAGUUAGGGGAUCGAAGACGAUCAGAUACCGUCGUAGUCUUA
rnacentral:rRNA from 1 species